rnacentral:rRNA from 1 species
UACGAAGGGUGCAAACGUUGCUCGGAAUUAUUGGGCGUAAAGCGCACGUAGGCGGCUUGGCAAGUCGGAUGUGAAAUCCCUCGGCUCAACCAAGGAAGUGCAUCCGAAACUGCUGAGCUUGAGUUCUUAAGAGGAUCGCGGAAUUCCCGGUGUAGAGGUGAAAUUCGUAGAUAUCGAGAAGAACACCGGUGGCGAAGGCGGCCAUCUGGACGGUGACUGACGCUGAGACGCGAAAGCGUGGGGAGCAAACAGG